UGGGGAAUAUUGCACAAUGGGGGAAACCCUGAUGCAGCGACGCCGCGUGAGCGAAGAAGGCUUUCGAAUCGUAAAGCUCUGUCCUAUGAGAAGAUAAUGACGGUAUCAUAGGAGGAAGCCCCGGCUAAAUACGUGCCAGCAGCCGCGGUAAUACGUAUGGGGCGAGCGUUGUCCGGAAUUAUUGGGCGUAAAGGGUACGUAGGCGGUCUAUUAAGUCAGGUGUGAAAGCGUGAGGCUUAACCUCAUUAAGCACUUGAAACUGAUAGGCUUGAGGGAAGGAGAGGAAAGUGGAAUUCCUAGUGUAGCGGUGAAAUGCGUAGAUAUUAGGAGGAAUACCGGGGGCGAAGGCGACUUUCUGGACUUUUACUGACGCUCAGGUACGAAAGCGUGGGGAGCAAACAGG
rnacentral:rRNA from 1 species